rnacentral:rRNA from 1 species
UACGGAGGGGGCGAGCGUUAUUCGGAAUUAUUGGGCGUAAAGGGCGCGUAGGCGGCCCGCUAAGUCAAAGGUGAAAUCCCUCGGCUCAACUGAGGAACUGCCUUUGAAACUGUCGGGCUCGAGGCCGGGAGGGGGUAGCGGAAUUCCCAGUGUAGCGGUGAAAUGCGUAGAUAUUGGGAGGAACACCAGUGGCGAAGGCGGCUCACUGGACCGGAACUGACGCUGAGGCGCGAAAGCGUGGGGAGCAAACGGG